rnacentral:rRNA from 1 species
GUGAGAUUAUCAUUUCCCGAAUUAAGAAGAUCUAACUAAUACAUUUAAUUUUAGUUCUUUAAAAUUAUAAUGUAACAAAUAUUAUUUUUAUAGUAUUAGUUAGGGGUGAAAGGCCUCCAAUUCUUUUAUAUCUGGAUUUAUGUAAAAUAUAUAUAGUAUAAGAUAAUUAUCUCAUAUUAAGAAUGUUAAGAUUUUUAAUACCUUUAAAAUUUUAUUAGUUUAUAAUUAAUAAGAGAUAACUCUCCUAAUAAUUUUAAUUAUAACAAUUCAAUUAUAAUUUAUUAAAUUAUAUAACAUAAAAGUUUUUUAAUAAAAUAAAUAAUUAUAUAAUGUUUAGAUUAGUAGAUUUUUACUUAAAUUAAGGAAAGGAACUCGGCAAAACUAUUUAUCGUCUGUUUAACAAAAACAUAGCUUAAUGAUAUAAAUUAUAUUAAGUACUCUCUGCCCAGUGAAUUUUUAACGGCCGCAGUACCCUGACUGUGCUAAGGUAGCAUAAUAAAUUGGCUUUUAAUUGAAGUCUUGUAUCAACGGAAUGUCGGAUAAUAACUGUCUCUCUUUAAUUAAUUUUAAGUUAAUUAAAAGGUGAAAAUACCUUUAUUAAAUUUCAUUAGACAAGAAGACCCUAAGAAUUUUUAUAAUAUUAAUUAUUAAAUAAAUUAAAUGAUUUUUGUUGGGGCGACAAAGUAACAUAUAACUUACUUAAUAUUAAUUUACGUGUCAGUUCAUUACUAGUAAGAUAAAAUUACCUUAGGGAUAACAGCAUAAUAUAAUUUUGAUUGUGACCUCGAUGUUGGAUUAGGAAAAAUAAUAACUAGUCGUUAUUAUAUAAAGUUCUGUUCGAACUAUAUUUACCUACAUGAUCUGAGUUCAGACCGGUGUAAGCCAGGUCAGAU